GAGUAAAAGUCGUAACAAGGUUCUCCUUCUUGAAGCCUUUUGCACGCGACUCUAACCAUGUGCAGAGUCCACGUUCACAGUGGGCGACGUCACCUACCUGCUGGGAUCCACCUCCGUGGGGACCAGCAGCCAGAUGUACCUCUGUUACAUUUGGUCUACAGAUUAGGCGGUGGCGGUCAGCAGCCAAUCUUUUGAUGGGCGUGUGCUGAUCAAGAUAUAAUCGGUCGCUAUUGUCGGUGUAAAUAGUUGAGAAACGUUCCGUAGGUGAACCUGCGGAAGGAUCAUUA
rnacentral:rRNA from 1 species